CAGCACCUCAAGUGGUCAGGAUGAUUAUUGGGCCUAAAACAUCCGUAGCCGGCGCUGUAAGUUUUCGGUUAAAUCUGUACGCUCAACGUACAGGCUGCCGGGAAUACUGCAGCGCUAGGGAGUGGGAGAGGUAGACGGUACUCGGUAGGAAGGGGUAAAAUCCUUUGAUCUAUUGAUGACCACCUGUGGCGAAGGCGGUCUACCAGAACACGUCCGACGGUGAGGGAUGAAAGCUGGGGGAGCAAACCGGAUUAGAGACCCGCGUAGUCC
rnacentral:rRNA from 1 species